CUGAAUUUUAUGCACAGUUUUUGAAAAUUAAGUGCAAAACAAGUUUUUCAGAUAACCAAAAGUUUAGAAAACAGUUUAGUAGCAAGAAAACAAAUAGCCUGACUUAAAAUCAACAAAGACUCUAACUAGACACUUCUCAAGAAGGCAUACAGGUUUGUAGAAAAACACUGAGUAUCACUGGUUACCAGGGAAACGCUAAUUCAGGCCAUAAUGAAAUGCGGCCUGACAUUAAUUAGGAUGAUGAUUACAAGACUGAAGUGCUGGGCAUGAUGUUGGGGAAGGGAAUGUGUGCAUGAUCUCAUUUGAGGAGCAGAGACAGAACGGGAAGACCAGGAGCUGGGCACCAAGAGACACAGUUUCCCUUAGACAAGAGGGUAGAUCAUUAAGAUCUGUUACACAGUCCAGGGCCAUAGUUAAUACAAUGUGGUUUUUUAUUAGUAAGAUAAAGUGUUUUAAAUGUCUUCACUGAAAACUUGAGAGAACAAAAAGUUGAUUGGCUUUGUUUAAUUAUUCUACAGUGUACUGUGUGUCCAAAGGUUCCCUGGCACCCCUAAAAUACACACAACUAUUAUUAAUCAAAUGUAAUACUUCUUUUGGUCUUGCUUUCUUGUGGCAGGGUCAUGCUUGGUAGCUCAAGUUGACCUCUAACUCACUAUGAAGUUCUGAGGUUCCAGGUGGGUACCACUACACUGUUGUUUGGUUAUAAAGGUUACCUCCCUCCAAGUGCCAGUCCCCAGCUGGUGGAACUAUAGGGAGAGCCUUUCUAGAAAUUUGGGGGGGGGUGGAGAUAUGGGGACUGGUGGCAGGUCCUGUGGAGUUGCCUCUGGCCCUUCCUGGCCCUUUUCUUCUUGUCUGCCAAGAAGUUAGAACAGCCUCUCUAGCAAAUGUUCCUGCCAUAAUGUCCUUCCCGCCCAAAGCCUGAUGCCAAGCAAUGUAGACAGAUACCUCUGAGACAGGGAGCCAUAAUAUCUCUUCCCUUAUUUAAGUUGCUUAUGUAGUAGCUCUUUCUGUCACAGCAACAAGAAAGCUAGUACACUGACUUCAAGUUUUUGGUUGAUUAUUCUGUGUUUGUUUGGGGGGAUUUGGGGGGAUUAUUUUUAAAGAUAGGCUCUCAUGUAAUUCAGUCUGGCUUUGAACUUGUUAUAUAGCCCUGACUGGCCUUGAACUUCUGAUCCCUCUACCUCUGUCUUUUCCAAGGGCUGGAAUUAUAAUCAUGCUCCCCCACAAUUAGAAUACUAUUUUGUAGUUUAAAUAAAUGUAUUUUUCAGAUAAAAUUCAGAGAGUUUUACCACUAACCACCCUUCAUUAAAUAAGCAUGUAAAGAAGCUACUUCAAGAAGGAGCAUGAUGAUGAAGGGAAGCCCAGAUAUGAGUGAGCAGAGAAUUGACUUAUAAGAAGAGAAAUCUGGGACUGGAGAGAUGGCUUAGCGGUUAAGAGCACUGGCUGCUCUUCCAGAGGAUUCAGGUUCAAUUCCCAGCAACCAUUUGGUGGUUCACAACCAUCUGUAAUGAGAUCCUGUUCUCUCCUGGCCUGCAGGCAGACAUACAGGCAGGAUAACUGUACAUAAUAAAUAAAUAAGUAAAACUUAAAAAAAAAAAAGAAGAGAAAUCUAAGUCAUCUUAUAAAAACAAAGACAUCUGCCAUGUGUCUUCUAGAGAGCUGGAGACCUGGGCAUCAGUACGUGUCAGGUAGAAGGGAGCUCUGGAGUGGGGGGAUCCAAGACCCUGCAUUGUUAAGAAGCAGCUAAGUGAGCGAUGAACUUUAGAGUCCUUUAGAUGCUUAGGAUGCAGAGGAAGGUUUCCAGGGCAACCACAGGCAGCUCUCAAUGAAGGGACCACACGUGGGGCAGGCAACACGUGCAAAGGCUGGAAGUGGAAAGACACCAAGGAUGCAACGCUGGAAGGAAGGCAGGAUGAGGUGGGGUGGGGUGGGCAGACAGAGAGCCUGGGAAUCUACAGGGAGGUGAGGUGGGAGACCAGAUACCAGAACCUUCAUGGUUUUCGGUCCACAGUAUAGGGGGCAUGGAUUGUGCCCUAAGAACGGCAGUGUGUUACCUUAGUCUGUAAGUCAGAAAAUUCCUGUUGGAGAGUAUGUAACUAAUUUUAUGUGACAUCUGGCUGGCCCAUGGUACUCAAAUGGUGAGUCAAACAUUAGUCUAGGUGUGUCUGUGAGGAUGUUUUUGGAUGAGAUUGACAUUUAGCCAGCAUUUUUCUUUUCUCUUCUUUCAUUUAUUCCUUAGAGUCUCACUAUGCAGCCCAGGCUAGUCUCAAGUCACUAUAUAGCCUAGAUGAGUGCCUCCUGACCCAGACAGAUUAACAUUUAUUACAUUUAUUUAUUUAUUUAGGGGUGUGCCAUGGCUGUGGGUGCAUUGUGUAACAUUAUUACAGGAGAGACAUAAACAAAUAUCUACUCACCCCAGAUAGGGAACCACAACAGACCAAAGGAAAGGUACCACCAAAGUCCAACCUGUUGAACAAAUGAGUUUUACUCACUUCAGGGUUCCUUAGAGAAAUAUGGGCAUCCCUCACAGGACAGAAAUGACUCAAAGGCAGUUGGAUCGCCAAAAGCCCAUCCCAACAUAGACGAUAAGCUCAGGAAAGCUGGGAACCGAGAGCACACUGCACAGCCUGCAUGCAGAUCCACAGGUUGGAGAAUGUCUCUUCCAGGCAGCUCAGCUGCUCUCUGUCUCUUUCAGGUGGCUUGGUUGGUCUGAGAGUGGGUCUCCGUAGUCCUCACUGCUUAUACACAUUUGCUAGGUAAGGGUCCUAGUGAGUUUAGUUGGUUUCAGGGACUUACUGAAGCUUUUGUGUUGUUUAUUUCCUGAAUUUAAAGAACUUCCCUACAGGAUAGACGGUUUCCCCUACCUUCACAGCAUCCUGAGUCCUGUGUCUUAACCAGCUUUAAUCCAUGAUGGAGGUUUAUCUAGGAGAAAAUUGCUACUCAGCAGGGCAGGGGUCAGAGGUCAAGGGUAGCAUAUAGGAGUCAAUUCUCCCCUUCCGUCAUGUGGGGCUUAGAGAUUGAAUUAAGGUUUAGCAGCAAGAACCUUUACUCACGGGCCCAUCUGGCUAGAGCACAGAUUAACAUUUAAAUGAGUAAGUCUUGAUUAAGUAAACUGUACUCCAUAGUGUGGGUGGGUCACUUCUAAUCACCUGAAGGCCUGAAUAGAAGGGAAACUGGAGGGUGCCUGAGCAAGAGGGAAUCCUGCCAGCCCUAGCUUUGGGCAUGGUUGCCUGUAGGCUCUUGCCUGUUGGCCUACCUGCAGGGGUUAGAACUGUCAAUCCCCACUAUCAUGGGCACCCCUCCUUAAAAUAACCCUAGAUAAUUACACAUCCAUGUGAUCUCUGGAGACCCCUGAGUAGUGUAGGACACUGGUGAUGGAUAGUGAUCAGAGCUCUCUGUAGUCCAUUCUGGCCUUGCCUGGUCGCAAAAAGCAACUGGCGGGGAUGGGAUUGCUAAGGGCUGUUUUAAGGUAUGGGAGUACCCAGUAAGUGCCCUCACCACCUUCCAUCAACUGGUCCUCACUCAGGACCUCUACGCCAGCACGAUGCUGCCCUGUGACAGCAAUAGAAGACGGAUGUCAUGUCUGCGGGGCUCCUGUGCUGGAAAAAAAAGGCAGACUGGGGUAGCCAGGCCAACAGGAAGGUAGCCCUGGGCGGUGGCGUGCAUGGUAGAGGACACCUAGGAUGCAGAUUUCCCUGAGAGGAAACAAAGGGAUGGGGAGAAUCAGAGGGCAGCUCAGGCUGUGCACUGUAGAAAGCCACAGGGGCCAUAGGAUAAGUGGAGGCAGGGCAUAGCGUCCAGAUCUGGCCAUCUUUAACCAUAUUUGGCUCAUCCAUUCUUAUUCCAUGCUACCCCUCAUGAGGCAGGGGACAGGACAGUAUUUCUGGGUGUCCUAGCAUAAAGCUGGUUUUUGCCCCCUUUUUCAGUUGACUCUGGCGUUCCAUACAGGCAUGGUGUGGCUGUGAGGGGUCCAUGAUGACAUGGGAGACUUUCUGGAGCACAGCCAGCCCAUUCCCAAGAUGAAAACCUCUGACAAACUUCUGUUCAGAGAUGUAGGAGGUCCCUGUGGCCCCAAAUCUUGUAUGAAGGAAAAGUGGUGAAAUGAGCUUUUGGGGUAGCUCCCCCAGACACCACCCUCAGGCAUCCUCGGCCUGUGAUCUCGCUCCCCCACUCCCUCAGCCCAAGCUAAAUGAACUUGCUUUUCACAAAGACAGCAGCUGCAAGAGUGAACCACAAAGACUGCGGCUCCUGUCUUGGUUCCCCUCAGCACUUUCAUGGUUCCAAUCCUGGUAUAGCCACCUGCCACACCGUGAAGUGGCUCAGGUGACAAGGGUUGAGCCUGCCAAUACCCCACGAAUGAGUCUGGGAGUGGACUCCACCCAGUCAGCCUUUCAGAUGGGCCAGAAGCCCCAGCUUCACGUGAGAUCACAGUCCAGAGCCCCCAGCAAAGCACCUGAAUUCCUGCCGGAGGCACCAAGAGAAAAAUGAAUGUGCUGUUUUAAGCCCCUACGUUUGAAAGCAAUUCUGCCUGCCACACUGAAAAACACAGGUCAUCUCGUCCUGACGGUGUCACACAAGCUGGGCCUUCAGAGAACAGCAUUCGGAGGAGGCGGCUGCCUUUUUCUAUGUAUCCUUACUGUGAGGCUCCUGCCAACGUGACACACAGCCGGGCGUUUUGAUCUUGUUUUCCAUUUCUAAGGGUUUUGUUACUGCGGCUGUUUUGAGAGGUAGAUGUGUGUGAGAGAGAGACAGAGAGACAGAGAGAGACCUGGUCCAUGGACAGGCACAGAAAUCCUUUACAACUUUAAACUCCUGAUUCCCUGUCGUCACCUCCUGAGAACCGGAUUACAGGUGUGCACCACUCUUGCAUCUGCCAAGCUCAAGGGAUAUUUUUUUUUCACCUACCAUUUUUACUGUGUGUGUAAGAAUGUCCACAUUAUUACAAAGCCAGAAGUCCAGGGCAAGGUGCACUGACAGAUGCAUCAUCCCUGUGCCUCCACCCCUGUUGCACUGUCCUUGUCUCCUCUUCUGGGGUCCACCCUUCACCUGGGUUAUGUGUCUUAUUUCUUUUUUGCCAACACUAGAAACAGUUGCUUGUGUUGGCAUUCCCCUCCUUAGACCAAGUGUAGCCAUCAGCAGCACACCGACAUUUUUAUGUAUCGGCACAGCCUGAAGAAGGACCUGUGGGCUCUUUUCUUGGGCCAUGUGAUGGUGGGGGAGGGGUCAUGCACCAGUACACCCAGACAGCCAAGUGGCAGUGGCCCUUGGGAGGUUCCCCACCUUAGCUGGUACAACUAUCACUACAAGUGAGAGCUUGGUGUGUGCCACUCCGUGUGCAUGUGUAACCUUUAGAAUGGGUUCCUGAAGUGGGCAGAAAGGUAUUCCGUCUGCAAGUAUCUGUGUCACUGACAGGAAUCCCUCCCUGCCGACUGUGAGUUCUCUGAACCCAAAGUGUACCUGCUGAUUACCUAGAGCUGUCAGUCUCGGGGAGAUAUUUUUUCCCUGAACAAGAAGAUCCUGAGCUUCAGUUCGCGGAAUCAGGAGAUACAUGAAUGGUGCUUUCUGGAAACUAUCCAUUCAUGAUUUCUGAUAUUUGUUUUGUUUUUGUUUUGUUUUUCGGGACAGGGUUUCUCCGUGUAGUUUUGGUGCCUGUCCUGAAUCUCACUCUGUAGACCAGGCUGGCCUCGAACGCACAGAGAUCUGCCUGCCUCUGCCUCCUGCGUGCUGGGAUUAAAGGCGUACGCCACCACCACCUGGUAAUUUCUGAUUUUUUUUUUCCCUAUCUUCCCCUCCUAGACAUCUAGGAGCUCCUCAGCACUCAGGAAAGUUAACCUUAGCAUAUAAGUUACGCGCACACGUCAUUUUGUCCUUUUAUGUUCUUUCUCCGCUCCCCUCUCGCCUCUUUCUCAAACUGUUGACAUCCCCCUAUUGUUCUUAUUACUCCUGUCUGCCCUCCCACACUCCAGGGCAAAGGGCUCCUUCUUCUGCAAGGCAGGGCCAUCGUCAUCCGUCCGUCCCACCCCCCACCCCCCCACCCCCACCCCGCUCCUUGCAGUGAGGUGGGAGAUGCUGUCAGAAAGGCUUCCCAGUGUGGCUUCUUAGGGCUCCUGCUGACACGCUGGGGCCUGUGGUCUGCAGAACCCCCAGCCAGAGGCUCCUUUGCUGGGAGUAAGACUGGCUGGCUUGCUGCCAGAGGCUGCCCUGGGCUUCACAAGUUUCUGUGCCUCCUCCUCCCCAUUUCUCCCUAGCUUCUUGGGAGCCUGGGAGCCUGGAAGCCUGGGUGGCCUUGGCCUCCAGCUGAACCUACCAUUUCCAUCCGGGUUGCCUGGCUCUCCAUACUAUUUCUCUUGCCAUUGUGCUUACACCCUUGGGCCCCUUCAGCCUGUCCGGCCAAUUCCACACACCUGAGUUCUUGGUAAUGCCUAGGAAGACCUAGGACCUCGGUGUCAGGAAAGCACUAUCAGAAACAUAGACAGACAUGUUAGGUCACAGACCCUCUAGCCGCUACCCCGCUGCAGCCCCUCCCUCUGCGGAGUUGAUAGGCAAGUGUGGUGCUGCUGUGUGAGUGUGACCUUGCAGUUCUCAGAACACUCCUCCUCCCUCUCCUUAGACCCAAGACAGCUUUGAGUUAUAGCUAGACUUUUAUCACUAGCCGCCCGGCGGCUUCCAGCGCACAGGCUGGGUCCCGUGGUGUGGAGCACCCCUUUUCCCUGGGAAGCUAUAAAAGGAGGAAACCCCCUUUUGUUUCCUGGAUCUGAAGGGAGCUGAGGGAACUGGAGGGUUUCUCACGCCCUUCAGGGCCUGCCAUGCUGCCUCGUGUUUGAUACUAACUCUCCGUGGGUGCUAGGAACUGAAGGGAGCUGAGGAUCUUUCCCUUCGGGACUGCCUUCGUGCCCCUGCUCUCUUUCCUAGAGGAGCUCUACCCUAGACCUGUGGGCUCAUUCUCCUCCUUCAGGUUGUGGUGUUUCCUACUGGAUUCCUCUGAAGUGUAAUUUCAUCUCCACUUCCUUUCUAGGAACUUUAUCUGAUGAUGCUCGUGUCAGAAUACACUGAAUAAAAACAAUUUCACAAGCUC